rnacentral:tRNA from 1 species
UUUCAUAUAGUUUAAAAAUAAAACAUUUUAUUUUCAUUAAAAAUUUAGUAUAAAAUGCUUAUGAAAA